rnacentral:misc_RNA from 1 species
UUGAUUUCUCAAUUGUAGAAUCAGACACAGAUAAAACAUGCAGCAUAAAUGCGACGCCCCACGGAGGGGGUCGUCGAAGCACGUCGCUCUUCCACGGGUUUGAGGACUCGGGCCCGAGGGCCGUUCGUUAAUGAUCCCUCCGCAGGUUCACCUACGGAGA